rnacentral:rRNA from 1 species
UACAGAGGUCUCAACCGUUGUUCGGAUUCAUUGGGCGUAAAGGGUGCGUAGGCGGUCGCGCAAGUCGGAUGUGAAAUCUCGGGGCUCAACCCCGAAACUGCAUUCGAUACUGCGUGGCUAGAGUGCUGGAGAGGAGACUGGAAUUUACGGUGUAGCGGUGAAAUGCGUAGAUAUCGUAAGGAAGACCAGUGGCGAAGGCGGGUCUCUGGACAGUUCCUGACGCUGAGGCACGAAGGCCAGGGGAGCAAACGGG